CCUACGGGAGGCAGCAGUGAGGAAUAUUGGUCAAUGGGCGCAAGCCUGAACCAGCCAAGCCGCGUGAAGGAUGACUGUCCUACGGGUUGUAAACUUCUUUUAUAAAGGAAUAAAGUGAGGCACGUGUGCCUUUUUGUAUGUACUUUAUGAAUAAGCAUCGGCUAACUCCGUGCCAGCAGCCGCGGUAAUACGGAGGAUCCGAGCGUUAUCCGGAUUUAUUGGGUUUAAAGGGAGCGUCGAUGGGUUGUUAAGUCAGGUGUGAAAGGUUGGGGCUCAACCGUAAAAUUGCAAUUGAUACUGGCAGUCUUGAGUACAGUUGAGGUAGGCGGAAUGCGUGGUGUAGCGGUGAAAUGCUUAGAUAUCACGAAGAACUCCGAUUGCGAAGGCAGCUUACUAAACUGCAACUGACACUGAUGCUCGAAAGUGUGGGUAUCAAACAGGAUUAGAUACCCCUGUAGUC
rnacentral:rRNA from 1 species